CAUGCUUUGUUAUUAUACGCUUGCUAUUUUUUUGGUUCAUCGAUUCUAUAGAAAUCAAAUUUCCAUUCACAAGGGAUUAAUUUCACUAAUGCUUAAUGGCAAUCCCAUUGAAAUGCUUGUAUGAUGUCAACCUCGUUUUUUUAUGAUUGUUUCUCUGACUGGAUUUAUUAAGCAGGAAAGAAUUUUGGAAGAAAUUAAAUUGUCCAUUCAGACAUUUCCUGCAGUUUCCAUAUAUCACAAGUUCUUUCGUCAACCAAAACCAUCUGAAGAAGCCGUCAUUUACUUUGACAUUUAUUAACUGGAACCAUGAAGCAAUAAGUGGACUUCAUUUUUCUUACGAGAAGGAAUAUGACAGUUCUCUCAUUGUAAUGUGAAAUACCGGAACUCUGACAAGGUCUUCAUUGUGAAAGUUCCUAAUCUGAGUAAAUAUAAUCUAGACAAGAAAUGGACUUUUUGUGUAGCUUUAGCUGAAUAAACUACAAUUUCAUGUGCUUUUAGGUUCACAUUGCCAUGCUGCUACAUAUGCCGAUUCCUAUCAAAAGUGCAGCUGCCGCACUCUAAAAAACAAUAUCCUCACAACUGAUCAAGGUCCUACAUUACCGAUUUCAUUUCCUGCAAAUCUUCCAAAUUGAUCAUGUGAUUAGCAAAACAACGAUUUGAAUGACGUAUCAACUGUAAAUGAAAGAAAUCUUCUCGCAGAGCUCACAAACCGAGACGUAUAUGAAACUCAAUUUUUGAUGACGUAUCAACUGUAAAUGAAAGAAAUCUUCUCGCAGAGCUCACAAACCGAGACGUAUAUGAAACUCAAUUUUUGAUGUUAAGACGCUUAUGUCCGAUAUAACAACCAGCUCAUCUCUUUCAGAUAAUUGCUGCAAAAGUACAAAUCAGCUUUCUAAAUCAUAUGUACUUAAUGCUGCAGGCGAAACAAUUGAACUUGAAGAUCUUGUCCUCGGUCUGAACCCAUUAACCUUGUUGCUUCAGCAGAUUGAAAAAAAAUGGUCGGAUGAGCAAGAAAGAAAGCUCAUCCGUCUAACAUUUUUGGUACUUUUUAUCCUGGAGGUUUUAUCUUUUUUAAAGGAGAAUAGUGCAUCGGACAAUUCGUCUCUGGAUUUGGUCAUCUAAAUUUGAACUAGCUGAAACUGAAGAUUUUGAGACAAAUUGUUCAGGAAAUAUUAAUUCCCAGGAAAUUUUUCAGCAAUUAAUAUCUUUUUAUAACAGAUAUUUUAUCGAGAAAGAGAAAUGCAUACCUAGUAAUCUCUUUAUAGACCAUCAUAAUAUUGACUUAUAUUUCAUUCUAAAACUAACGAUUUUAGAAACUAAAAACUCUCUUACGUUAUUUCCGAGACAAGAAAACUAUGUAAAUGAAUUCUCUGCUCAUCAACUAUUGUGAAUCUUAUUGGUUCAGAAAAUGAUCUACUGCUAAUGUUGCCGAAAGAAAUGAUGCUACAUAUGCCGAUUCCUAUCAAAAUUGCAAUAGCCACAUUCUAAAAAAACAAUAUCCCCACAACUCAUCGAAGUCCUAUAUUCACCGAUUUCAUUGCCGGUGAAUGCGGCCGUUAGUGAAAUAAACAGAAUUUCUUUUAUAGUAUGACGAAGAAUAGUUGUAUAGAUUUUGUAUUUUUUAGAUAUAUUUUGGAGUGCUAUG